GAGGGAGGGAGAGGACAGUGCCAAAACCCAGCUCCUGGCCAGUCCCCAGCUCCUCCCUGCCUGGCCCUAUCCCAGGAUCCCCUCCCCAGCCUCCCAGCUAUGAUGUACCCCAGGGCCCAGACUUCAGGCGCCCUCACAAUGCCGGCGGUUUGAGUACAAGCUCAGCUUCAAAGGCCCAAGGCUGGCAUUGCCUGGAGCUGGAAUACCCUUCUGGAGCCAUCAUGGAGACGCCAUCCUGGGCCUGGAGGAAGUGCGGCUGACGCCAUCCAUGAGGAACCGGAGUGGCGCCGUGUGGAGCAGGGCCUCUGUCCCCUUCUCUGCCUGGGAAGUAGAGGUGCAGAUGAGGGUGACGGGACUGGGGCGCCGGGGAGCCCAGGGCAUGGUGAGUGUCCUCUCCCAGAGCUGACAGAGCGGGGUGGGUCAGGGAGGCGAGUGAUGAGCCCCGGGGUCCCAGUAUCCCACACGGUUCCCUGAGCUGAGGGGCUGGGGACCUGCAGGCCGUGUGGUAUACCCGGGGCAGGGGCCAUGUAGGCUCUGUCCUUGGGGGGCUGGCCUCGUGGGACGG
rnacentral:sRNA from 1 species